rnacentral:rRNA from 1 species
CGGACUGUAGGCUGCAACUCGCCUACACGAAGUCGGAAUCGCUGUAAUCGCGGAUCAGCAUGCCGCCGGUGAAUACGUUCCCGGGCCUUGUACACACCGCCCGUCACACCAUGGGAGUUUGUAACGCCCAAAGUCGGUGGCCUAACCUUUAUGGAGGGAGCCGCCUAAGGCGGGACAGAUGACUGGGGUGAAGUCGUAACAAGGUACC